rnacentral:rRNA from 1 species
GGGGAUAUUGCACAAUGGAGGAAACUCUGAUGCAGCAACGCCGCGUGAGGGAAGAAGGUCUUCGGAUUGUAAACCUCAGUAGUCAGGGACGAAAGAAAUGACGGUACCUGAAGAGUAAGCUCCGGCUAACUACGUGCCAGCAGCCGCGGUAAUACGUAGGGAGCGAGCGUUGUCCGGAUUUACUGGGUGUAAAGGGUGCGUAGGCGGGAUAGCAAGUCAGACGUGAAAUACCGAGGCUUAACUUCGGGGCUGCGUUUGAAACUGUUAUUCUUGAGUGAAGUAGAGGCAGGCGGAAUUCCUAGUGUAGCGGUGAAAUGCGUAGAUAUUAGGAGGAACACCUGUGACGAAGGCGGCCUGCUGGGCUUUAACUGACGCUGAGGCACGAAAGCGUGGGUA